CCUACGGGCGGCAGCAGUGGGGAAUAUUGCACAAUGGGGGAAACCCUGAUGCAGCGACGCCGCGUGAAUGAAGAAGUAUUUCGGUAUGUAAAGCUCUAUCAGCAGGAACGAGACAAGACGGUACCUGACUAAGAAGCCCCGGCUAACGACGUGCCAGCAGCCGCGGUAAUACGUAGGGGGCAAGCGUUAUCCGGAAUCACUGGGUGUAAAGGGAGCGUAGACGGCUGAGCAAGCCUGAAGUGAAAGGCGGGGGCCCAACCCCCGGACUGCUUUGGGAACUGUACGGCUAGAGUGCAGGAGAGGUAAGUGGAAUUCCUAGUGUAGCGGUGAAAUGCGUAGAUAUUAGGAGGAACACCAGUGGCGAAGGCGGCUUACUGGACUGUAACUGACGUUGAGGCUCGAAAGCGUGGGGAGCAAACAGGAUUAGAUACCCGGGUAGUC
rnacentral:rRNA from 1 species